UGGUGGAGUGAUUUGUCUGGUUAAUUCCGUUAACGAACGAGACCUCAGCCUGCUAACUAGUUACGCGGAGCUCUGUCUUCGCGGACAACUUCUUAGAGGGACUAUGAGCGCAUAGCUCAUGGAAGUUUGAGGCAAUAACA
rnacentral:rRNA from 1 species